rnacentral:rRNA from 1 species
GUCGAGCGGAUGAGAAGAGCUUGCUCUUCGAUUCAGCGGCGGACGGGUGAGUAAUGCCUAGGAAUCUGCCUGGUAGUGGGGGACAACGUUUCGAAAGGAACGCUAAUACCGCAUACGUCCUACGGGAGAAAGCAGGGGACCUUCGGGCCUUGCGCUAUCAGAUGAGCCUAGGUCGGAUUAGCUAGUUGGUGGGGUAAUGGCUCACCAAGGCGACGAUCCGUAACUGGUCUGAGAGGAUGAUCAGUCACACUGGAACUGAGACACGGUCCAGACUCCUACGGGAGGCAGCAGUGGGGAAUAUUGGACAAUGGGCGAAAGCCUGAUCCAGCCAUGCCGCGUGUGUGAAGAAGGUCUUCGGAUUGUAAAGCACUUUAAGUUGGGAGGAAGGGCAGUAAGCGAAUACCUUGCUGUUUUGACGUUACCGACAGAAUAAGCACCGGCUAACUCUGUGCCAGCAGCCGCGGUAAUACAGAGGGUGCAAGCGUUAAUCGGAAUUACUGGGCGUAAAGCGCGCGUAGGUGGUUUGUUAAGUUGAAUGUGAAAGCCCCGGGCUCAACCUGGGAACUGCAUCCAAAACUGGCAAGCUAGAGUACAGUAGAGGGUGGUGGAAUUUCCUGUGUAGCGGUGAAAUGCGUAGAUAUAGGAAGGGACACCAGUGGCGAAAGCGGACCACCUGGACUGAUACUG